rnacentral:rRNA from 1 species
AUGUCCUACGGGAGGCAGCAGUGGGGAAUAUUGCACAAUGGGGGGAACCCUGAUGCAGCGACGCCGCGUGAGCGAUGAAGUAUUUCGGUAUGUAAAGCUCUAUCAGCAGGGAAGAAAAUGACGGUACCUGAGUAAGAAGCCCCGGCUAACUACGUGCCAGCAGCCGCGGUAAUACGUAGGGGGCAAGCGUUAUCCGGAUUUACUGGGUGUAAAGGGAGCGUAGACGGUGCGCCAAGUCUGGAGUGAAAUGCCGCAGCUUAACUGCGGAACUGCUUUGGACACUGGCGAACUAGAGUGCGGGAGGG